CACUUGGGCACUUCGGGCGCCUUCGGUUUGCUGCGGCGAAGAGGCGCUGUGUUUCCUGCAGCCACUGGUACUGAGAGAAGAUGUUCAACAUCUACAUGAGCAGCUAGCAGAAUGAAGAGAGAAGAUUCAAGCAGAUCAUCAUGGCAGAAUGAAGUCCUGAAUACCCUUAGCUCUUCAUGGUCUUCCAUCUGAAUCUUACUGUUUUGGGAACACAGCGAGCUCUUACUCAGAGGGGUUAACAGUCAUGGAUAUGUGUGUAAAAACUGAGCCUGAUGAUCAGGACAUUUUCCACCCUGAAUGUUGUACUGAGGUACAGGACUUCAGUGCUGAAGAGAUGCGCUCAGGGCUGCGUGUGGACGCUGACCAAAUUAAAGCAGAGAUUGUUCUGGUCAAAAUAAAGGAGGACAAUACAGAUCUACAGCUGUGUAGCACUGGGGUCCUCGGUCUUCCUUCAGAGCAGUUCAGUUCUUCUACACAGUAUACGUCAGAGACAAGAGAAGUUAAAGUAGAGCAGAAUUCUCAGUUACAGCAGUCUUUGUGUUCUCAGAAGAAAAUGAAUGAAGAGGCUCAUUAUGACAUAAAGGAAGAAUAUGCAGAUUUGCAGGUGAAUGAAUUAAGCUCUGCUCCUUGUCCUUUAUCUGAACAAUGUAAAUCAGAGACAGAUCAAGUGAAGGUGGAGCAGCAUUGUCAAUCAGAAGGAUCAUCCAGCACAGGGACAGCAAUUAAAUGCAACAUUUUAAUCCUGCGACAGAAGAAAUGGCACAUGGGCGGAAGCAGAAGUAAACAUUGAAAUAAACAGCUGAAACUCCGUUUGUCUUAAGCA
rnacentral:lncRNA from 1 species